UGGGGAAUUUUGGACAAUGGGCGCAAGCCUGAUCCAGCCAUGCCGCGUGCGGGAAGAAGGCCUUCGGGUUGUAAACCGCUUUUGUCAGGGAAGAAAUCUUCUGAGUUAAUACCUCGGGAGGAUGACGGUACCUGAAGAAUAAGCACCGGCUAACUACGUGCCAGCAGCCGCGGUAAUACGUAGGGUGCAAGCGUUAAUCGGAAUUACUGGGCGUAAAGCGUGCGCAGGCGGUUUUGUAAGACAGAGGUGAAAUCCCCGGGCUCAACCUGGGAACUGCCUUUGUGACUGCAAGGCUUGAGUGCGGCAGAGGGGGAUGGAAUUCCGCGUGUAGCAGUGAAAUGCGUAGAUAUGCGGAGGAACACCGAUGGCGAAGGCAAUCCCCUGGGCCUGCACUGACGCUCAUGCACGAAAGCGUGGGGAGCAAACAGGAUUAGAUAGCCCUGGUAGUCCACGCCCUAAACGAUGUCAACUGGUUGUUGGGAAGGUUCCUUCUCAGUAACGUAGCUAACGCGUGAAGUUGACCGCCUGGGGAGUACGGCCGCAAGGUUGAAACUCAAAGGAAUUGA
rnacentral:rRNA from 1 species